rnacentral:rRNA from 1 species
AACGAACGCUGGCGGCAGGCUUAACACAUGCAAGUCGAACGCCCCGCAAGGGGAGUGGCAGACGGGUGAGUAACGCGUGGGAAUCUACCCAGUUCUACGGAACAACAGUUGGAAACGACUGCUAAUACCGUAUACGCCCUAAGGGGGAAAGAUUUAUCGGAAUUGGAUGAGCCCGCGUUGGAUUAGCUAGUUGGUGAGGUAAUGGCUCACCAAGGCGACGAUCCAUAGCUGGUCUGAGAGGAUGAUCAGCCACACUGGGACUGAGACACGGCCCCGACUCCUACGGGAGGCAGCAGUGGGGAAUAUUGGACAAUGGGCGCAAGCCUGAUCCAGCCAUGCCGCGUGAGUGAUGAAGGCCUUAGGGUUGUAAAGCUCUUUCAGUAGGGAAGAUAAUGACGGUACCUACAGAAGAAGCCCCGGCUAACUUCGUGCCAGCCGCCGCCGUAACAC